rnacentral:lncRNA from 1 species
ACUUAGCUAGAAAUGUGAAUCAACUAGGAUUCGAACUUAGGUUUCGGGUACAAACAACCAAGCCCUUUGCCACUUGCUGUAACAUAUUGAAACCCGAAAGAAAUUAUCGAACUUUAUCCAAAUUGGUUAAAGUUGUCGAGAGAAAUAGUUGGACAAGUUUCAUUUAGCAUUCCAACUAGGUUGGAAGGGAUAAAAAUGAGUUUAAAAGGUGUUAGAAAGGUUUUAGCAUCGAUCGGCGUGAAAUAAAAUCGAAAACGGCGCAAAAUCAGUAUUCUGGGCAAAGUGUAUCGGUAUAA